CCAGACUCCUACGGGAGGCAGCAGUGGGGGAUAUUGCACAAUGGGGGGAACCCUGAUGCAGCGACGCCGCGUGGGUGAAGGAGUGCUUCGGCAUGUAAAGCCCUAUCGGCAGGGAAGAAGCAAGACGGUACCUGACUAAGAAGCCCCGGCUAACUACGUGCCAGCAGCCGCGGUAAUACGUAGGGGGCGAGCGUUAUCCGGAUUCACUGGGUGUAAAGGGAGCGUAGACGGCCAUGCAAGCCAGGGGUGAAAGCCCAGGGCCCAACCCCGGGACUGCUCUGGAAACUGCGGCGCUGGAGUACGGGAGGGGCAGGCGGAAUUCCGUGUGUAGCGGUGAAAUGCGUAGAUAUACGGAGGAACACCAGUGGCGAAGGCGGAUUGCUGGACAGUAACUGACGCUGAGGCGCGAAAGCGCGGGGAGCAAACAGGAUUAGAUACCCCCGUA
rnacentral:rRNA from 1 species